AUCUCAUGUCCAGGACAUUGCAAAAGCUUUUCAUUAAAUCUCUCCCAUGCUUCAUAUAGAGGCUCCCCAUUGAGUUGAUGAAAAUUAAUGAUUUUAUCCUACAACU